GCAUUAGUCUGUGGAAGAGUGAGGGGGAAAACUUCUGUCAGAUUACUGCUAUUUAAGGAUCUUAUUCAAGGGUUUUAUAUUCAUGUUGAAUUCUGCAGUGCAGUUUGUUCAGACUGUUUAUAUCUGUUCCAGUUGUGCAAGAAGUGGAAAAUAUCCUUUAUUUAGAACAGGUCACGUGCUUACAUCCAGGAACAGUCUCUCAAUGCUUU